GCCCUUUAAACAUUGCAAGUCUGAGCGGUAACAGGGGGAGCUUGCUCCCUGCUGACGAGCGGCGGACGGGUGAGUAAUGCUUAGGAAUCUGCCUGGUAGUGGGGGAUAGCCCGGGGAAACCCGGAUUAAUACCGCAUACGCCCUACGGGGGAAAGCAGGGGAUCUUCGGACCUUGCGCUAUUGGAUGAGCCUAAGUCGGAUUAGCUAGUUGGUAGGGUAAUGGCCUACCAAGGCGACGAUCCGUAGCUGGUCUGAGAGGAUGAUCAGCCACAUCGGGACUGAGACACGGCCCGAACUCCUACGGGAGGCAGCAGUGGGGAAUAUUGGACAAUGGGCGCAAGCCUGAUCCAGCCAUGCCGCGUGUGUGAAGAAGGCUUUCGGGUUGUAAAGCACUUUCAGUGAGGAGGAAGGCCUUAAGGUUAAUACCCUUGAGGAUUGACGUUACUCACAGAAGAAGCACCGGCUAACUCCGUGCCAGCAGCCGCGGUAAUACGGAGGGUGCAAGCGUUAAUCGGAAUUACUGGGCGUAAAGCGCGCGUAGGUGGUUUGAUAAGCGAGAUGUGAAAGCCCCGGGCUUAACCUGGGAACGGCAUUUCGAACUGUCAGGCUAGAGUGUGGUAGAGGGUAGUGGAAUUUCCUGUGUAGCGGUGAAAUGCGUAGAUAUAGGAAGGAACACCAGUGGCGAAGGCGACUACCUGGACCAACACUGACACUGAGUGCGAAAGCGUGGGGAGCAACAGGAUUAGAUACCCUGGUAGUCCACGCCGUAAACGAUGUCACUAGCCGUUGGGACUCUUGAAGUCUUAGUGGCGCAGCUUACGCACUAAGUUGACCGCCUGGGGAGUACGGCCCAGGUAAACUCAAAUGAAUUGACGGGGCCGCACAGCGGUGGACCAUGUGGUUUAUUCGACGCACGCGAAACUACCUGGCCUGACAUCAGAGACCUUCCG
rnacentral:rRNA from 1 species